UGGCUUUCUCAGCUGCCACGG
rnacentral:siRNA from 1 species